GCUAGAUGCUGUGAAAAUGGACUGAAAAGUGGAAAUUACAGUCAUGUUUAUAAUUGGCAGUUUUCAGGUUUUACAGAUGAAGGGCUGGCUCAAGUGACUAAGCAGUGUGAAACAACCAAUAAUGGAGUGUUUGACAGCAAGUUCAAACGGCACAGUAUGGUGAUUUGUGUAGUGUGCAUUUGCAAAUUAAGACAGCCUGGAGAGGACAUUUGGAUUAGACCAUCAAGCACCAAAGAAAACUUCUAAUGGGCCGAGAUGAUGCAUCUGUUUAAGGCUGGAAGGAAGAGAAAUAGAGGCCUUGACAAAAACCUCAUUUCACCGCCCACCUGAUCAAUCUCCA
rnacentral:lncRNA from 1 species